CGACUCUGAAGCCGAGUUGUCACAUUCACAGAGGCUGUAAGGUGCCAACGUUUGUGUUCCAGCUGAAGAGGGGGGACCACCUUUUCCAGUUACUGCCAACGAAGCAUCUGGCUGCAUUGAGGAUCUGAGAGAUACCACUGAAGAAACCCUAUAGGAUGAAACGCAUUGGGUGAUGCUGUAUAUUCUUAUGGGUGGAUGGAAGAACUGAAAACUUUGUUCUAAUAUGAAGCUUAGUGAAUUUAAGUAAUUGCUAUCAAAAAUUAAU